GAAUGCUGAGUCUGAGUCGGAGGAAGAAUGACGGGCUCUCUUAUUUUAGUAGUUCAAAUCUCGAGUCUGAAGCCCUCAUGGUAAUUUGUGUCAUGAAUAAAAGAGUGUGCCCUUUGCUUUAGUGUCCUUGGUUUGGAGUUGAGUGGAACCUCUUAGGUGGUGCUAUUUAUCUUGAAAUCUGUGCCUUUUGUUUUAUUUUGGAGUUGAGGGGAACCUAUUUGAGUCUUUUGGUUGUUUUUCUUGCUUUCAUUUUCGUAUUGUUUGGCUUUGCUGUUAUUGAGCGUGGUCAUUUUAGGCUUCUUGGGUGAAUAACGUUGUUACCACCUAUCUGCUAGAAAUUCAGAUCAAUAAACGUUCCUCUA
rnacentral:lncRNA from 1 species